rnacentral:rRNA from 1 species
UACGUAGGGUGCAAGCGUUAAUCGGAAUUACUGGGCGUAAAGCGUGCGCAGGCGGUUUUGUAAGUUUGUCGUGAAAUCCCCGGGCUCAACCUGGGAAUUGCGAUGGAGACUGCAAGGCUAGAAUCUGGCAGAGGGGGGUAGAAUUCCACGUGUAGCAGUGAAAUGCGUAGAGAUGUGGAGGAACACCGAUGGCGAAGGCAGUGUCCUGGGGAGUACCUGACGCUCAGGUGCGAAAGCCAGGGGAGCGAACGGG